rnacentral:tRNA from 1 species
GGAAACAUAGCUCAGUUGGUAGAGCAGGCAAUACAUAAACAUUCAUUUUUCUACCUCCAUAUAAGUAUUUUAUUUACAUUUUAAUUUUCAUCACAUAUAAAUUGCCGACACAGGUUCGAUUCCUGUUGUUUCCA